AGUUAAGUGAACAAGGGCAUACGGCGGAUGCCUUGGCGCCAAGAGCCGAUGAAGGACGCGGUAAGCUGCGAAAAGGUAUGGUAAGGAGCAAG
rnacentral:rRNA from 1 species